rnacentral:rRNA from 1 species
ACUGAACGCUGGCGGCAUGCUUUACACAUGCAAGUCGAACGGUAACGGGCCGCAAGGUGCUGACGAGUGGCGAACGGGUGAGUAAUGCAUCGGAACGUGCCCAGUCGUGGGGGAUAACUACUCGAAAGAGUAGCUAAUACCGCAUACGAUCUAUGGAUGAAAGCGGGGGACCGUAAGGCCUCGCGCGAUUGGAGCGGCCGAUGUCAGAUUAGGUAGUUGGUGGGGUAAAGGCUCACCAAGCCAACGAUCUGUAGCUGGUCUGAGAGGACGACCAGCCACACUGGGACUGAGACACGGCCCAGACUCCUACGGGAGGCAGCAGUGGGGAAUUUUGGACAAUGGGCGCAAGCCUGAUCCAGCAAUGCCGCGUGCAGGAAGAAGGCCUUCGGGUUGUAAACUGCUUUUGUACGGAACGAAACGGCUCUGGUUAAUACCCGGGGCUAAUGACGGUACCGUAAGAAUAAGCACCGGCUAACUACGUG